UACGGGGGGGGCAAGCGUUGUUCGGAAUUACUGGGCGUAAAGGGCGCGUAGGCGGUCAGCACAAGUCAGUUGUGAAAUCUCCGGGCUUAACUCGGAAAGGUCAACUGAUACUGUGCGACUAGAGUGCGGAAGGGGCAACUGGAAUUCUCGGUGUAGCGGUGAAAUGCGCAGAUAUCAGGAAGAACACCCGUGGCUAAGGCGGCUCUCUAGUACGGUACUGACGCUGAGACGCGAAAGCGUGGGGAGCGAACAGG
rnacentral:rRNA from 1 species